UCAUUUUAUGCUUCCGCAUUAUUUUCGCAAUGUGGUAUCAAAGCUUUCGAUCUGGAGGCUUUGGUAACUGUUGCGCAUUCUCUAAAUUUAUUAUCUUUCUCUUCCAAGAUUCAACAAGAGAAUUCAGUGGAAGAAGAUCAAGAAUUGGUGAAACAACAAUACAAAGUACAAAUUCUGCAACAACCAUUUUCAAGCAUCUAUUGGUAUGUUGCUUGUAUAUUUAUUGGCGUCUGCGAUUGAAAGUUGAUCGGUCUAUUUUGCAUAGUAAAGCUUUUGUUAUUACAAAUCUACGUUGAUUUCAACAGCUUUGUGUUGUAACUCAUUCCUAACACCAACCAAACUAUUAGCAAACUCUACAACCUGGGGUAGUGCAUCAAAACUGAAGUGCAAGAAAGAUUGUGUUCUUGCUCACCACAUUAAAUCAUGAACAAGAUCAACAAGAUCAUCAACAACAACAACAAAAUUAACAAGAUCAAGAAGAUCAACAACAACAACAAAAUCAACAACAACAACAACAUCAAGAUUAACAAGAUCAACAACAACAAGACCAAAUGAUUGAGAAAAUCCAAUCACGUUAAGAUCGAGAUUUCGAUCCAUUACAUUGUCAUGAUAUCAAAUCGAAUUAUCAAGCUCAAAUCAUUUACCUUCAACUUGAGAGGCUAUUGAAGAACAAAACUACCAUAUUUUACAUAGUUUACACAUUUUACACAUGUGUUUUAUUAGUUUGUUUAGGUAAGUUUGUUACAUAUUCAUAUACUAUAAACAGG
rnacentral:lncRNA from 1 species